rnacentral:rRNA from 1 species
AGAGUUUGAUCAUGGCUCAGGAUGAACGCUAGCGGCAGGCCUUAUACAUGCAAGUCGAACGGUAACAUUGGUGCUUGCACCAGAUGACGAGUGGCGCACGGGUGCGUAACGCGUAUGCAACCUACCUUUUACUAGAGUAUAGCCCAGAGAAAUUUGGAUUAAUCCUCUAUAACAUCUUUUAAUUUCAUGAUUAAUUGAUUAAAGUUUUAACGGUAAAAGAUGGGCAUGCGUCCUAUUAGUUUGUAGGUGAGGUAACGGCUCACCUAGACUACGAUAGGUAGGGGCCCUGAGAGGGGGAUCCCCCACACUGGUACUGAGACACGGACCAGACUCCUACGGGAGGCAGCAGUAAGGAAUAUUGGACAAUGGACGAAAGUCUGAUCCAGCCAUGCCGCGUGCAGGAUGAAAGCCCUAUGGGUUGUAAACUGCUUUUAUACAGGAAGAAACACUCCGACGUGUCGGAGCUUGACGGUACUGUAAGAAUAAGGAUCGGCUAACUCCGUGCCAGCCGCCGCGGUAAUAC